UGUACUUGGGUGUGUGUUUGCUUAGCUUGUGGACAAAGACUAAAAGUGGGUGCAAAAACCAAGUCCUCUUUUGUAUCUGAGAACUCACUGUUUAAUGUGUUUUGAUACAAAUAAAAAGUGAUCUA
ensembl:snoRNA